rnacentral:misc_RNA from 1 species
UACGUAGGGUCCGAGCGUUAUCCGGAAUCAUUGGGUUUAAAGAGCUCGUAGGCGGUUCAGCAAGUCGGCUGUGGAAGUCCAAGGCUUAACCUUGGAAAUGCAGUCGAUACUGCUGUGACUAGAGUCUGGUAGAGGAGAAUGGGAUUCCCGAUGUAGCGGUGGAAUGCGCAGAUAUCGGGAGGAACACCAGUAGCGAAGGCGGUUCUCUGGGCCUCGACUGACGCUGAGGAGCGAAAGCAUGGGUAGCAAACAGG